CCUACGGGUGGCAGCAGUGAGGAAUAUUGGUCAAUGGACGCAAGUCUGAACCAGCCAUGCCGCGUGCAGGAAGACGGCUAUGAGUUGUAAACGGCUUGUGUACGAGGGGAAAGCCCGAUACGUGUAUCGGGUUGAAAGUAACGUACGAAGAAGGAGCGGCGAACUCCGUGCAAGCAGCCGCGGAAAUACGGAGGAUGCAAGCGUUAUCCUGAUUUAUGGGGUUUAAAGGGUGCGUAGGCGGUUCGAUAAGGUAGAGGUGAACUCCCGGGGCGCAACUCCGGCACUUCCUCUGAUACUGUCGGGCUAGCGUUUAGUUGCGUUCGGCGGACUGUAUGUUGUAGCGGUGACAUGCAUAGAGAUCAUACAGAACCCCGAUUGCGAAGGCAGCCUGCCACGCCAUGACUGCCGCUGAUGCACGAAAGCGUGGGGAUCAAACAGGAUUAGAUACCCUAGUAGUC
rnacentral:rRNA from 1 species